AGAAUCAACGCUGGCGGCGUGCCUAACACAUGCAAGUCGAACGAGAAAGUGGAGCAAUCCAUGAGUAAAGUGGCGACCGGGUGAGUAACACGUGACUAACCUACCUUCGAGUGGGGGAUAACAUCGGGAAACCGAUGCUAAUACCGCAUAACAUCGCAAGAUCAAAGCAGCAAUGCGCUGGAAGAGGGGGUCGCGGCUGAUUAGCUAGUUGGCGGGGUAACGCCCACCAAGGCGAAGAUCGGUAGCCGGCCUGAGAGGGCGCACGGCCACACUGGAACUGAAACACGGUCCAGACUCCUACGGGAGGCAGCAGUGGGGAAUUUUGCGCAAUGGGGGAAACCCUGACGCAGCAACGCCGCGUGGAGGAUGAAGCCCCUUGGGGUGUAAACUCCUUUCGACCAAGACCGAUAAUGACGGUACUGGUGGAAGAAGGCACCGGCUAACUCUGCGCCAGCAGCCGC
rnacentral:rRNA from 1 species